GUUUUUUAUUUAAUAUUUUUAUGCUCUUGAAUAUAUAUACAUACAGAAAAGACAAGAGGUGACCUGAAUCUUUUGAUGUAGUGAUCAGAACUCUAAGAAAAAGGCAAUGACUUUCGAAACCUCUCAGGCUGCCCUUUGAGAGGAAAGAAUAAUUACUAUGCCUUUUGUCAUAUGAUUAAACUUAUCAAAUCAGGAUCAGUUCUACAUUAACCAAUAAAUGCUGAUCUGAUGCCUUGUUUUGUAGUGUUAUGAAGAAUGAAACUUGUAUUUUGGACAAAUAAGGGCUUUUUUUGUUUGUUUGUUUAAGGCUGUCGAGUUAAUUUGUUCUCUUUCACCCAGGAAAUCAGGCUUAUUUUUCAAUUGAGAAAGCAAACCGCUGACCUUCAAGUUACUAACAUGGAAGGAACUUGAGAGGAGGGGUGGAGACUCAUCAAAAAAGACUGAAAUGGUCAGUUGCUGUUCCCCAAUAUUACAGGCUCCCAGCUUUGCGGGAUUCUAAGCAAAUAGGCAGAAUAUCAUUCAGGGCCAAACCUUCCUCCGUAAGCAUGCAUUUACUAUCAGUGCCCUGGCCUCGACUCUCCUGACUGCUGGUCUUCAAGCCCGCCGGCGGCUAAUUUCUUCCUAAUUUGCCUUCACCUUGGGAAAGAAGAAUGAAAACAAAGUUCCUCGCUCUCAAUCAAUCCCUAAUCUGUUACAUUUCGAAGGAAAAGAAAUGGCUGGUAAACUUCGUGUCCUCUGGGAAAAGCACCUCUGAGAAAAGUAGGUACUGCCCAUCGGGCCCACCUUACUUAAGGUUGACAGAUGUCCUCAGCGGUUCUCAGUCCCGCCGGCCCUGGGGUUCCCCUAAAAUCGCGCUAGUGUCCGCCCUGUCUGACCUGACCCCCUGCCGCGGCACACAUUUCAGCUUUUCAGCUUCACGGUGGAUCUUGCAGUAAUUGAGUCAGGAGGGUUAUUUUUUCUGGCCUCGCCUCGCGGGCUCAGACUGCAGGGAGCUUUCGAAAAGACAUCGCCUCCUCCCACUCCGAGCCCCGGCAGCUUCUGAGCGCUGCGCGGGCCUCCGCCCCGCGGGAACCAGGACGCGAUCCACGCGGCGGCGGCCGGAGACUGAGGCCGGAGGGUGAAACCACCAGGGGUCCCAACGGAGGGCUUAUUCCCGCCUCCCUUCACAUUUGGAGGUCAAAUCACAUUAACACUAAACCACCAACAGGGCGGAAGCAGGUGGUUAAUUGCCUAAACUAGAGUUGCCAGCAAGAGACCAACUUUACAGGCGGGUGACUUGGUUUCCCUAUGUAGCUCUGUCAUCAUUGAACGGCCUCUGCUUCCUCCUUAUUCAGAAGGCGGCGUAAGUUUAUCACCUGCUGCAGGAGAAGGCUGGUGCACACUGUCACGGUAGGGUGACAAGCAAGCUGGCGCAGUAGGCGCGCGGGAUCCCAUCCGCGCAGCUAUUGGAAGCAGGUUUCCUUCACCCCUUCCUGGAAGGCGUGGCCCCUUUGCAAGUUGUACAUCUGUUCUCUUCACGUGACAUUUCAUAAAAGCCUUAACAUCUGGGCAAGAUAAACUUCCUUCAGGCCUAUCUUGGGAAAUUUGAGGUUAGGCCUCCGCCUGACAGUUGCCGCAGCUCCCUUUGCUGACACUGGAGCCGCCGCCUCCGCGCAGCGACCAGACGCGGGGCCCGAGCCGUCCGGGACGUCCGAGGAGGACACGGACAUUGUCACUCUCCCCACGGUGUUGCCUGGCCCGCCACCCACGCAGGGGAGUCUGGUCCGUGCGUCCUCCCGCGCCCGCCGCAGAAAUGAACUUGUUUUUAAGAAUGCUCACAAAGAGUGGAGGGCAUGACAAAAAAGUACAGUAACAAGAGAAAAUAGUGCUGGCUUCAUACUGGUGAUUUGCAUUUAACUGUUUUACAGCUGCCUUCUCAAAAUAUAAGCAGGAGAGGUGAGUAACAAAUUUAAGUUUUUGCUGUUUGGGACCUGAUAAGAGAUGGGAGAGAUGCUGUUAAGCCCAAUGAGCACCAAACUGGAAUAAUAAAGCUGUCUUUCUAAAUAGCAUGCUUGUGCCUGUCAG